CUUCUUCUUCUUCUUCGCUCUUCUUCU
rnacentral:sRNA from 1 species